GCACUUUCGGGUCUCUCUGUCACACUGUCUGUUACCCUCACCCUUCAAAAACAACACGACAACCUCUCAGAACUACCUCUUACCUUGUAUAUAGAUACAUAUGUUAUGAGUCUUUGGUGUCCCAGACAAAAAUUAUAAAAAAAGAGAAUAACUUUUCCUACCCCAACUCAAUAUUUUGGCCAAAUUCAUUGUUUCAGCGUCAACCAUGAGGCGACACUUAUCAAAAUUCUUUCACUGCCCAAUUGGGAUUAACCUAUCAAAUUCCUUUCCGCAGUUGAAAUGUGAUGUGGGUUCGAACUGUGCUGCAAGUAGCACUCGUCAAGCUUUGUUCGGUGGACACUGGAAUGAAUGUGCCACAAGAGCUUUGGCUACUGCAUCUUGUGCUUCCGUGUCUGAAGAUCUGCCAAAGGAUAAUUCCGUCUCUGAUAUGUUGGUAGAUUCAUUUGGAAGGCUUCACACAUACUUGAGAAUAUCAUUAACAGAGAGGUGCAAUUUAAGGUGUCAGUAUUGUAUGCCAGCAGAAGGUGUGGAACUCACUCCUAGUCCUCAAAUUUUGACAAAUACUGAGAUUCUUCGAUUGGCAAAUCUGUUUGUAAGCUCAGGGGUAACUAAAAUACGUCUGACAGGUGGGGAACCAACUGUUAGAAAGGAUAUUGAAGACAUAUGUUUGGAAUUAUCAAACUUGAAGGGACUGAGAACACUGUCCAUGACUACCAAUGGUAUUGCCUUAACGAGAAAACUUCCAAGGCUGAAAGAUUGUGGGCUUACUGCCCUCAACAUUAGUGUAGACACCUUGGUACCUGCAAAGUUUGAGUUUAUGACCAGACGAAAAGGGCAUGAAAAAGUAAUGAAUUCUAUUAAUGCUGCCAUAGACCUUGGAUUUAAUCCAGUUAAGGUCAAUUGUGUUGUAAUGCGUGGAUUCAAUGAUGAUGAGAUCUGCGACUUUGUUGAGUUGACCCGUGAAAAGCCAAUUGAUAUUCGGUUUAUAGAGUUCAUGCCUUUUGAUGGGAAUGUUUGGAAUGUCAAGAAACUUGUACCCUACUCAGAAAUGUUGGAUACAGUGAUGAAACAGUUUCCAAGCUUAAAAAGAGUUCAGGACCACCCUACAGAUACAGCCAAAAAUUUCACAAUAGAUGGGCAUGAAGGUAGAGUUUCGUUUAUCACAUCAAUGACUGAGCAUUUCUGUGCUGGUUGCAAUAGAUUGCGACUACUUGCUGAUGGAAACUUUAAAGUCUGUUUAUUUGGUCCUUCGGAGGUUAGUUUAAGAGAUCCCUUGAGAUGUGGUGCAGAGGAUCAUGAACUUAGGGAGAUAAUAGGAGCAGCGUGAACCUUUAUUAAAGAAGAUAUACUUUAGGAAUAAAAGAAGCAUAGCAAAGGACAACACACCCCUCAGCCUAACUGACAAGGACUUGGUUAGAGCUUCUGUAUAUGUAUGGAGAUAAAAGGGUGGGAGGGGGAUGAUAUAGUUAGGUGAAGAAGAAGAAAGCUUCACAUGCUGGCAUGUUUGACAUAGCAAAGACUGCAAAUAGGCCUAUGAUACAUAUUGGUGGAUAAGGUAUCAUACAGUGAUAAAGUUACUUACAUAGCAGGCAACCAGAGUAGUCCUGGUGAGAAGUACCCUGAAUUGAGUAUUAUCUGAGAUCUUCAUUGAUAGUCAAUCUCACUACAAAGGGUGAUCAAUUUUUCAACUAUACCUAGCCACAUAUACUGUUAAAUGUUGUAUGGAGUAAUAAUGCAAAUUUGGGAUUGAAUUUUCUGAUCAUGUGUAACUCUUUCUUCAUUGGUUUAUGAUUUUUGGGUGUGUGUUAAUCUUUCUUCACUGGUUGUUUGUUUACCAAUCAGCUUUAGUUUCAGCAUGGCUCUGUAUUUAUUUCUUUUGUUGUAGAAGUGACAAUGAAAUUUUGAGAA